UAUAAGGUAAGUUAAUUUUAAAACUAUCGGGCUCAUGCCCCGACAAUGAUUCUUUCCCCUAUAA
rnacentral:tRNA from 1 species